rnacentral:rRNA from 1 species
UACGUAGGGUGCGAGCGUUGUCCGGAAUUAUUGGGCGUAAAGAGCUUGUAGGUGGCUCGUUGCGUCGGGAGGGAAAACCUGCGGCUUAACCGCAGGCCUGCUUCCGAUACGGGCGAGCUAGAGUUCGGCAGGGGAGACUGGAAUUCCUGGUGUAGCGGUGGAAUGCGCAGAUAUCAGGAGGAACACCGGUGGCGAAGGCGGGUCUCUGGGCCGAUACUGACACUGAGAAGCGAAAGCGUGGGGAGCGAACAGG